rnacentral:rRNA from 1 species
GAUGGUUCGAUUAGUCUUUCGCCCCUAUACCCAGUUCAUACGAUCGAUUUGCACGUCAGAAUCGCUACGGACCUCCAUCAGGGUUUCCCCUGACUUCAUCCUGACCAGGCAUAGUUCACCAUCUUUCGGGUCCCAGCGUGUACGCUCUUGGUGCGCCGCAACUUGCAAUAAGUACGCGACGCCCCGGGAAUGCGAGGUAACAUAAAUAACGUUACCCAUCUUCCCUUUAUAAAAUAAUUAUAAAAAUUAUAUAUAUAUUUACUUUCAUUACGCCUUUAGGUUUAUUAUAAAUACCCAAUGACUUGCGCACAUGCUAGAUG